GCAGGCGCGAAACCUUUACACUGCACGACAGUGCGAUAGGGGGAUCCCAAGUGCACAGGCAUAGCGCCUGUGCUUUUCGGUACCCUAAGGCGGUACCAGAAUAAGGGCUGGGCAAGACCGGUGCCAGCCGCCGCGGUAAUACCGGCAGCCCAAGUGAUGGCCGAUCUUAUUGGGCCUAAAGCGUCCGUAGCUGGCCGUACAAGUCCAUCGGGAAAUCCACCUGCUCAACAGGUGGGCGCCCGGUAGAAACUGUGCGGCUUGGGACCGGAAGGCGCGACGGGUACGUCCGGGGUAGGAGUGAAAUCCCGUAAUCCUGGACGGACCGCCGAUGGCGAAAGCACGUCGCGAGAACGGAUCCGACAGUGAGGGACGAAAGCCAGGGUCUCGAACCGGAUUAAAUACCCGGGUAGUCCUGGCCGUAAACAAUGUCUGCUAGGUGUGGCUCCCACUACGAGUGGGUGCUGUGCCGUAGGGAAGCCGCUAAGCAGACCGCCUGGGAAGUACGUCCGCAAGGAUGAAACUUAAAGGAAUUGGCGGGGGAGCACUACAACCGGAGGAGCCUGCGGUUUAAUUGGAUUCAACGCCGG
rnacentral:rRNA from 1 species